rnacentral:misc_RNA from 1 species
GAUGAAGAACGCAGCGAAAUGCGAUAAGUAAUGUGAAUUGCAGAAUUCAGUGAAUCAUCGAAUCUUUGAACGCACAUUGCGCCCAUUAGUAUUCUAGUGGGCAUGCCUGUUCGAGCGUCAUUUCAACCCUUAAGCCUAGCUUAGCAUUGGGAAUCGACUUUACUGUCGUUCCUCAAAUUCAACGGCGGAUUUAUAGCAAUCUCUGAACGUAGUAAUUUUUUUUCUCGUUUUUGAAAUACUAUAAACCUCAGCCGCUAAACCCCCAAUUUCUUAUGGUUGACCUCGGAUCAGGUAGGAAUACCCGCUGAACUUAAGCAUAUCAAUAAGCGGAGGA